CCCUUCUGUCCUAGAAAAGGCUUGGAGAGACUGUGGCCCCUUACACAUCUUGGGGGAACAGAACCCCCAAAAGAUAGAUAUAGAGAGACAGACUGAGAAAACAGUUCCAAAGGAGCAGACACCUCCACACAGAUCUCACAGGAGCAGAGCACAAUUCAGAGACAAGCAAAGCCACGGGGAAGAAGAGACCGGAAGCGACAGGAAGCCAAGAAGAACCAGGAAGUGACAGGAAGACAAUGAUGAGACCAAGGGCUCAGAGGCGAAGAGAGGCUGUGAUGGAGUUACAGAGAUGGAGCGGACAGGAAUGGAGCCCACAGCCACAGUUGGAGGAUUGGAGGGCACCAGGGAAGGGGUUUGGGCAUGGUGACAAGCAGAGUUGGGACAACAGGUCAGUGUCAGAAGGGGAACCGACAAGGAGGAAAAGGAUAAAGUCAGAGGCAAAGGAGAAGAUAACAGGUAGAAGACAGGGGAUCAGAUAGAAGUGAACGCCGAGACAGAGACAGAGACAGAGAGAUAGAGAGGAGCAAGACAAAGCUAGGGACAGAGAUCAGGCAGCCUAAGAAUACUGGUAGAAAGAUUACGAGGACAGUGGUACAGAGAGAAAAGUGUCAGGAGAGCUAUAGAGGAUAGGGACAGGGACAAAAAACCAAGGAGAACGCGCUAGAGAGGAGCGAGCUAAGGGCAACAGUGACAGACAUGGAGAAGAAGGUGGCAGUGGAGAGACAGGGGAAGACAGACUCAGAGGUGAUAACAAGGCAGAGGUCAGUGAGAGGAGACAGAGAUAACAAAAAACCAAGUAAUACAACGAUGAGGCAAAGAGCGACAAAAAUAGAGAAGGUGCCAGAGACCAAGCUGGAGACAGCAGAGACCAUGGCAAAGAGAAUGCAUUCAGACACAGCGGGCAGGGGAUGAAGGGACCCAUGUUGGAGACACAGGAGAGGAUAAAAGAGAAGGAGUGGGCUGGUACACAGAGGGGACAGGGACACGAUGGGAUGUGGCAGGAGGAGAGAUGGGGCGACACAAGUGAAGAGCACGGAGACAGAGAUGGAAAGAUCAAAGGCAGAGCACAAGGGGUCUGUGCCACAGAGGAGACAGAAGCAGAGGAGCAGAGAGAGUGGAUUCAGACAGAAAGAGACGGAGGAGUCAGACGGACAGGUUCCGAGGGGACAGUAGGAGAAUGCAGAGAUCCACAGUAGAGGGCCACAGUGGCUGGGUCCGAGUCCCAGCGUCAGUACAGAGCAUUCGAUGACAGAGAUGAAGAAGCAGAGGCAGAGCGGAGGGCAACGGAGGGCUCUGUGACGAAGGUGCUGGAGACAGAAGCAAAAGGCACUGCAACAUGCGACGGGAAUUCAGCUCGGUGGUUCCGCCACCUGCCUCAAAAGCACAAGGUCCCGAAUUUGAUCCCUGGUACCCCUGCAAAAAGCACCAAGUCAUCCAGCUGGCAGCUCCCAGAAGCCGCCUGGGCUCCUUGGUUAACGGCCCGUUGGUCCAUUUUCAGAGCCAGCGGUACAGCAUCGCGGCCUCUCUGCUGCUAUCACACAGCUGCCUCCGAGGCCCCGGCAACUGAACCUCCUGAACCUCCCUGCGUUCAGCCGUUCAGCCGAGCAGACUGGAAACCGCAGUUCCGCAGGCAGCCUGGGCCCCCACCGUCUUCCCAGACAGGUCCACAGGGGCGUCCAGGCGGCUCUGACUGCUGUCACGGGGCCGGACUGAGGGAUGCCCACACGACAGUUCCCACGCGGACUCCUGGCUUCCAGGGGGGGUUGGGGUAACAGGGGCUGGAAAUG
ensembl:lncRNA